ACUUACUGCCAGAUCACAUUCAAUGCACUAGUUCUCGUCCGACCACCGAAGUUGAGCAACAUUGAGCUUAGUGAGAACUUAGAUGGCAAACUUAAGCACUGUAAGCA
rnacentral:rRNA from 1 species